rnacentral:lncRNA from 1 species
GGACCAAUACAUAUUACAUACGGCUGAAUCCCAAAACAUUACGCUUCCAUUCGCUUGCAGGCACGGUAUUGUUCUUUAAAAUUUGCAGAAGUUAUGUUUUGAAAUGUCGCGAACAUGUCACAUUUAUUGACGAUUUGAGUUUGUGGUCGUCAUUAAGAUACUGCAAUGGAGUUUAUUAAUUGGACAUUAAGGCUAUUUUGAUUCUUUUGAAUGGUAAUCUUUUCUUAUUGGAUGGGAUAGGUUUUGAUGAAUAGCUCCUUACAUGGCAGGUUGCUGUACUAGCUGUGCCGUACGCGUAAAGUCUGGACAAAUAAGACAGCCUGAAGCUCUUGGGAUAUCUACUGAAUUGAAAGCAAAGGCAUGGAUCCAUCUGCUCGUUUUGCUUAUUAUUUGGCAUUUGAGUUUCGACUCAAACAUUAAGCUCCUAUCUCAUUGUGUUCUCAUCAUCUAGUUAUCAUUUUGACCAUACUAUAGGUUUCUAUAUGAAGUCAGAGUAACUUUAAGAAUUCUAGUCAUUUAACAAAUAGGAUACGAAUAAGAUAAAUAAAUAAAUGUUGUAUAAAUGCACUAGGAAUGAGAGCAUAAAUGGAAGAAGAUUCAUAAGACAGGUUUGAUUGUGACUGUCAUGUAGUCCUUGUUUCAGUUAAAUUAAUCAAAUUAUGAGUAUCGUUACCUAUUUUGGAAGACAUGUAAACUUCUUCGAAUUGAUGUUGUUAAAUUUUUGUUGAAAAU